ACGAAUCAAACAAGUUCAUCUUGUUCUGAUCCUGUGCACCUUAUGUAGUCCUCCCAAAGCCUUCACGGGCGGCGGUUGGCUACGUCUACCUCACACCUUAAAGUAUGUUAACGAAUGUAAUCAUGGUCUUGACAGACCCUAAAAAGUUAAUA
rnacentral:misc_RNA from 1 species